AUUCAUGCUUUUUGUGUUGAUUAUUUUUCAAUUGUAUUGUUUUUCUGUUUGAUAGCAAUGAAAAGAGAAAACCUAAGAGCAGUUCCAUUGGGGAACUGAUAGGCUGGCACCCAGCCAAAAUAAUGGCCCGGCACCCGGGUUUUUCACUCUAGCCCAGUAGAUAGGCUGGCACCCAGCCCAAGCUGGUCUCCAGGCCAGCCCAAAAUCAACUGAGCAAUCAGACGGCUCAAUUGACGUCAUCUCACACUUACACCCUCAACCUCUUCGCUGCACCAACCUUAUCGCCCACUACGCCCCUCUGGGCUCCCCCUCUCACGCUUACACCAUUUUCUCCACCAUCUCCUCCGCCUCCGAUGUCUUCCUCUGGAAUGUCAUGAUCAGAGGCUUCGUCGACAAUGGGCUGUAUAACAAAGCUAUUGCUCUGUACAGUGGUGUCAGACCUGAUCAUUUUACUUUCCCUUUUGUGAUUAAGGCUUGUGGGUUUGCUCGUGAUUGGAGAUUGGGUAAGAAGGUUCAUGGAGAUGUGAUUGAAUGUAGGUAUGCAUUAGAUGUGUUUGUAGGUAAUUCACUUAUUGGAUUGUAUGGGAAAUUUGGGCAGGUUGAAACUGCACGGUAGGGGUGGAAAUUUGGGCAGGUAAUUCACCUAAAGCGCACCCAUCCCCACCCUGAACCAACGCAUACCAUUGCAACACCUCCCAGACUGCCAAUACCCAUCACCAACCCACCCCAAAAAUUCUACCCAACAAACGCAGUUCCAAAUCCGAAUGGAGAGAGAGAGGGAGAGAGAGAGAGAGAGAGAUGCAGAAGGAGGUUGACUCGUCGGGAGUGGCAAGAGUUGGCGUUUUGGGAUGAUCGGAGAAACAAAUUGAGGAGGAUGUAGAGGGAGAGAAUAGAGGGUUCUAGUGAAACCGUGGGCUUCCAGACUUACCUUCUUUUUUUUAAUAAAAUUAUUAUUUUUAUUAUUUUAUAAUAAAAAUUAAUAAAAUUGACUAGGUAAUUUUUUAUUAGGAAUAGAAAUGCAUUUGGUCUAUACAUUGGAAUCUAUCACUAUUCACUAUUCACUUAGUGGAUUAAAUAGGCUGAGUGCUGACGCAUUUUUUUAGGGAUGGACUUGUUCUAACACGCAAUAGAUUAGCUAAUAUGCAUGCUUUUUUAACCAGCCAAGAGGAACUUUGGAUAUUUUACUCCAAAUAAUUGAAAGGGGAUUGGAUAAAUUUGAUGGGUUUUUAUUAUUUCUUAAAUAUCUGUGGUAUGUGAGAAUUCAAGAAUUGUUCUUUUUUAUUAGAAGUAUAUUUGGGUUUAGUUCUUAAUCUGUGUUCAGUUCUCCAUUGUCAUUUUUUGGUUAAUUAAGGCACUUUGCUCCUUUAUUAAUGCAUUGCAUAUUGUAUGGUUCAAAUGGUUUUUGUUAAGUAUGUCUUGAAUUGAUUUUGUUACUGCUACUGCUUCCAUCAUACUAGUAAUUAGAAAUGGGAGACAAACAACAAGAAAUUGGAAAAGUGAAGGCCAAGAGUGAUGAUAGCGCUUGGACUUUGGAAGAGAGCAAAGUGCUGUUACAAUAGCUCGUUGAAGCUACAUUAAGUGGAUGGCGUGAUGCUAAUGGCUUGCUAACCAAAGAUAUUGUGAUGACAAGAAUACUUCCGGCACUUAAUGAAAGACUAAAGUGUAAUAAAACUUAUAAGCAUUGCACAAGUCGAAUGAGAUAUUUUAAGAAAGAAUAUGAAAAGUAUAGUCAGCUUAUGAGAAGCAACUCUGGCUUUGGGUGGGAUGCAAACACAAAGAGAUUUGUUGCUGAUGACGAAGUUUGGGAAGAAUACUUUAGAGCCCACCCAGACCAAAGAAGCAUUCGUAAAAAAUCUUGUGAUGACUUUGAAGAUUUGCAAAUAGUACUUGGGGAUGCAACUGCUACUGGAAAACACUCAUUGGGAUUGGGUGAGGAAACUGAUGCAAGAACUUUUGUAGUGGAAGAUAGACAAGGUGGAAUAGAGGAAGAUGAAUAGGUUGGAAUAGAGAACUUGUUUUACGAUGAGGAAAAUGGAGGCUUUGUACUAAAUCAAAACCAAGCAUCACACCAAACUUCAUCAUUUGAUCAAUUAUCCUCAUUCUUACCCACUCAGGCAACUAGCUCAAGGAUUCCCCCAUCAAUCGAAACAGAACCCAAUACCAAGGGAAUACUAGAUCAUCUGAGACCACUAAUCAAGCUAGAAUUAGGAAAAAUAUUUCACUUACUCUCGGUUCAAUUGCCACCGACUUCCGAGGAGUUCAUAGUCUGUUGGAGAAAAGGGAUAAGGAUAGAGAAAGACAAAAUUCUAUAUGGGAUGCCAUCAAGGAAACCCCAAAUUUGGAUGAACCUGCUCGCUAUUAACCGGUCGCUUUGCUCGAUACUAAAACCAGAAAGGAUGCAUUUAUGAAGAUGUCAUCGGAAGAGCGGUCAAAUUGGAUAUGCUAUAAUUUGAAAUGAUAUGUGAUUGGACUCAUGAUACAUUAGUUUUUAUUUGUUUGUUUUAUUUUGGAUUAUGUUUAAUUGGCUUAUUCAUACUUUUUGUUAAUUGGAUUAUGUUGGAUUAUGUUUAAUGAAUGAUGUGUUUAAUUUAAUUAAUGAUAUUAUGUGAGAAUGUAGGAUUUAGCUCUGUUGAA